ACUUAAAUUGAAGAGUUUGAUCAUGGCUCAGAUUGAACGCUGGCGGCAGGCCUAACACAUGCAAGUCGAGCGGUAGCACAGAGAGCUUGCUCUCGGGUGACGAGCGGCGGACGGGUGAGUAAUGUCUGGGAAACUGCCUGAUGGAGGGGGAUAACUACUGGAAACGGUAGCUAAUACCGCAUAACGUCGCAAGACCAAAGUGGGGGACCUUCGGGCCUCAUGCCAUCAGAUGUGCCCAGAUGGGAUUAGCUAGUAGGUGGGGUAACGGCUCACCUAGGCGACGAUCCCUAGCUGGUCUGAGAGGAUGACCAGCCACACUGGAACUGAGACACGGUCCAGACUCCUACGGGAGGCAGCAGUGGGGAAUAUUGCACAAUGGGCGCAAGCCUGAUGCAGCCAUGCCGCGUGUAUGAAGAAGGCCUUCGGGUUGUAAAGUACUUUCAGCGGGGAGGAAGGCGAUAAGGUUAAUAACCUUGUCGAUUGACGUUACCCGCAGAAGAAGCACCGGCUAACUCCGUGCCAGCAGCCGCGGUAAUACGGAGGGUGCAAGCGUUAAUCGGAAUUACUGGGCGUAAAGCGCACGCAGGCGGUCUGUCAAGUCGGAUGUGAAAUCCCCGGGCUCAACCUGGGAACUGCAUUCGAAACUGGCAGGCUAGAGUCUUGUAGAGGGGGGUAGAAUUCCAGGUGUAGCGGUGAAAUGCGUAGAGAUCUGGAGGAAUACCGGUGGCGAAGGCGGCCCCCUGGACAAAGACUGACGCUCAGGUGCGAAAGCGUGGGGAGCAAACAGGAUUAGAUACCCUGGUAGUCCACGCCGUAAACGAUGUCGAUUUGGAGGUUGUGCCCUUGAGGCGUGGCUUCCGGAGCUAACGCGUUAAAUCGACCGCCUGGGGAGUACGGCCGCAAGGUUAAAACUCAAAUGAAUUGACGGGGGCCCGCACAAGCGGUGGAGCAUGUGGUUUAAUUCGAUGCAACGCGAAGAACCUUACCUGGUCUUGACAUCCACAGAACUUAGCAGAGAUGCUUUGGUGCCUUCGGGAACUGUGAGACAGGUGCUGCAUGGCUGUCGUCAGCUCGUGUUGUGAAAUGUUGGGUUAAGUCCCGCAACGAGCGCAACCCUUAUCCUUUGUUGCCAGCGGUUCGGCCGGGAACUCAAAGGAGACUGCCAGUGAUAAACUGGAGGAAGGUGGGGAUGACGUCAAGUCAUCAUGGCCCUUACGACCAGGGCUACACACGUGCUACAAUGGCAUAUACAAAGAGAAGCGACCUCGCGAGAGCAAGCGGACCUCAUAAAGUAUGUCGUAGUCCGGAUUGGAGUCUGCAACUCGACUCCAUGAAGUCGGAAUCGCUAGUAAUCGUAGAUCAGAAUGCUACGGUGAAUACGUUCCCGGGCCUUGUACACACCGCCCGUCACACCAUGGGAGUGGGUUGCAAAAGAAGUAGGUAGCUUAACCUUCGGGAGGGCGCUUACCACUUUGUGAUUCAUGACUGGGGUGAAGUCGUAACAAGGUAACCGUAGGGGAACCUGCGGUUGGAUCACCUCCUUACCUUAAAGAA
rnacentral:rRNA from 4 species